UUGCAGAUUCUGCUUUUCCUGGGAGGAAGCUAGCACCAUUACUCUUACAUACAACUCUUAUAAGGGAAACACAGCAGUGAUUCAACUGAAAGGCUGAAGAAGCCCUUUGUGCACUCUGGUAGUUGGAUCAUUCUCAUGGGUGGUGGCAGAUGUACAAGAAAACAACUUGGGUCUCCCACAGAGUCAGUUGUCAGUGUGUGAGAGGUAGACAUUCUUCUGAUGUUGGAUGGAAAUACCAUCAUAUGGCUUUCUUGGAAUUUUGUUGUGAACUUGGACUCUGAGGCAGCCUCUGGGUGACUGGGGAGAUGAUAUGACACCUGGCACUAAGUGUGUCACUGCGAUCAUCAAUCAAGUCCCUCAUUUUGCAAGAAGAAAAAACAGAAGAUGUGGAGUCUUUAUGACUCGCUACAUAUAGGGCACAACCAUUCUUGUGAUUUCUGGAUCCUCAUGUG